rnacentral:rRNA from 1 species
UACGUAGGGAGCGAGCGUUGUCCGGAUUCAUUGGGCGUAAAGCGCUUUAAGGCGGUUCGCUAAGUCGCGUGUGAAACCUCCAGGCUCAACCUGGAGACGCCACGCGAUACUGGCGUGACUAGAGUUCGGUAGGGGAUCACGGAAUUCCUGGUGUAGCGGUGAAAUGCGCAGAUAUCAGGAGGAGCACCGGUGGCGAAGGCGGUGAUCUGGGCCGACACUGACGCUGUAGAGCGAAAGCGUGGGGAGCGAACAGG